UACGGGGGGAGCAAGCGUUGUUCGGAUUUACUGGGCGUAAAGGGCGCGUAGGCGGUCAGUGCAAGUCAGUUGUGAAAUCUCCGGGCUUAACUCGGAACGGUCAACUGAUACUGCUCGACUAGAGUGCGGAAGGGGCAACUGGAAUUCUUGGUGUAGCGGUGAAAUGCGCAGAUAUCAGGAGGAACACCGGUGGCGAAGGCGGGUCUCUGGGCCGAAACUGACGCUGAGGAGCGAAAGCGUGGGGAGCAAACAGG
rnacentral:rRNA from 1 species